rnacentral:tRNA from 1 species
UGUCAAGGGAUGGGAAUCGAACCCACGACCUUCCGCUUACCGAGCAGAUGCCAUGACCACUAGGCUACCCUGGAC